GACGAACGCUGGCGGUGUGCUUAACACAUGCAAGUCGAACGAUGAAGCGGUGCUUGCAGGCUGUUUUAGCGGCGACCGGGCGUGUAAUACGUGAGUGACCAGCCAUUGACUCUGGGAUAAGCCCGGGAAAAGGGGCAUACUACAGGAUACGACCAAUCUCUGCAUGGGGCAUUGGUGGAAAGUGUUAAGGUGUGGCGUUAGAUAGGCUCACGGCCAAACAGCUUCGUGGUGAAGUAAAGGCUCAACAAGGCGACGACUGGUAGCCGACAUGAGCGGGUGAACAGACACACUAGGACUGAGACACGGCCCAGACUCCUAUGAGAGACAGCAGUCGAGAAUCUUCCACAAGUAGCGCAAGCGUGAGACGAAGACAUCACGUGAGGAAAGACAUUAUUCGGGUUGUGAACCGCAGUGAGCUUAAAAGACGCGAAAGUGACGGUAGUUGAAGAAAAAGCACCGGCUAACUACGUG
rnacentral:rRNA from 1 species